rnacentral:snRNA from 1 species
GGAUAUGAGGGCAGUGUGGCUGCAACAUUUGUCAUCCCAUUGAUCCGCCAGGGUUGGCUCAGCUGAUCUGGCUGGCUAGGCGGGAGUCCCUUUUCUCUAUAUGUGUCCCUCCUGGAGCUGCCCAAUAGAGGAAACACCUGUGUUUUUCAGUCACAGGUGUAUGAGUAACUGCUCCCCUGCUAGAACAAAAAAUCUUCUAUCCCUGUCCUCUUGACAUACUAAUCUUCAACCACAUUGACCUUUUUUUUCCUGU